rnacentral:rRNA from 1 species
AUGCCGCAAUACCGGUGGAAUGGGACUUUGAUCCACGUCAACUUUCAUGUUGACUCCGGUCCUGACAGGUUGGCACUGCCUUACCAACAACAUGAUCAUCAAAACAGCAUAACCUAUGCUGACUUGCGCUUCACUGCUGGACAAACUGGUGACUACAUCCAAAUGCAGCAACUGGAAGCAUCAUGGCCAGGCACAGUUCAAUCCACCAACAGGGGCUUCACUGCUAUACAAUUUGUAGCAGAAUCUCUUUUCAACUUCCCUAUGGAGAAAGGAAAUUAUCACGACAGUGACACAGAACAGGGGCUUCCAGACAACCAGAAACUUCUAUGGCACAAGUUCACUCUUCCCCCAAAACCACAACAAAACUUAAUGCCUGCAAAUGAACCCAAUCGCCCACACGCCCACAUUCAAGACCUUCCAAGUGUUGCUAGGGCACUCUUG